AUACACUUUGCAGUGUGCAACUGGGAAAUACAUUGGGAGAACUUUACUGCACCAGCACAGACUUCCAAGUAUCAGCUUUCCAAACCUGGGCAUAAAUGUCACCGAAUCAAUGACACUUAGUUCUAGGAUUCCCUGUUGAGACGAAUGAAGCUCAGAGAACACCACAGGAGAAGAGUGGAAAGAAAGCAUGGGACACUGACUUUCAGACAUGACAUGGCUGCUACACUCCUGAAUUCAUGUCCACUGUGAUUACCUGAGUAAGAUCUACCUACACAGUAUUGGGCCAUCAACACCCUUGCCUAGGAGGAGGAGACAACAUUUGAAAGGGAUGACUACUUUCCUUCUUCUGGUCUUCUUUACAUGCUUUCUGAAAUUUGAAUGUCACUGCAGAAGGAUGCCACUC